GCAAGUCGAACGGAAAUAGCAAUAUUUGAGUGGCGCACGGGUGAGUAACACGUAGCUAAUCUACCUCAAAGCGCGGGAUAACGUGUCGAAAGACAGGCUAAUACCGCAUAAGCUCGCGAUCUGUAGAGGGUUGCGAGAAAAGGCUUCGGUCACUUUGAGAUGAGGCUGCGGCCCAUCAGCUAGUUGGGGUGGUAAAAGCACACCAAGGCAACGACGGGUAGGGGACCUGAGAGGGUGACCCCCCACACUGGGACUGAGACACGGCCCAGACUCCUACGGGAGGCAGCAGUGAGGAAUAUUGCACAAUGGGCGCAAGCCUGAUGCAGCGACGCCGCGUGGGUGAAGAAGGUUUUCGGAUCGUAAAACCCUUUUCUGUGUGACGAGCAAGGACGGUAGCACAGGAAUGAGUCUCGGCUAACUACGUGCCAGCAGCCGCGGUAAAACGUAGGAGACAAACGUUAUCCGGAGUUACUGGGCGUAAAGGGCGUGUAGGUGGUAGUGUAAGUCUGGCGUGAAAUUUUUCGGCUUAACCGGGAAAGGUCGUCGGAUACUGCACAACUAGAGGACGGUAGAGGCGUGUGGAAUUCCGGGUGUAGUGGUGAAAUGCGUAGAGAUCCGGAGGAACACCAGUGGCGAAGGCGACACGCUGGGCCGUACCUGACACUGAUGCGCGACAGCAUGGGGAGCAAACAGGAUUAGAAACCCUGGUAGUCCAUGCCGUAAACGAUGCUAGCUGGGUGUUCAGGGAGGGAAACCUCUCGGGGUACCGAAGUCAACACGGUAAGCUAGCCGCCCUGGGG
rnacentral:rRNA from 1 species